rnacentral:rRNA from 1 species
UACAGAGGGGGGCAAGCGUUAUUCGGAAUUAUUGGGCGUAAAGGGCGCGUAGGCGGCUUGGCAAGUGGAUGGUGAAAAUCCCUCGGCUUAACCGAGGAACUGCCGUCCAAACUGCUUCGCUUGAGACCGGGAGAGGUGAGUGGAAUUCCCAGUGUAGCGGUGAAAUGCGUAGAUAUUGGGAGGAACACCAGUGGCGAAGGCGGCUCACUGGACCGGUACUGACGCUGAUGCGCGAAAGCGUGGGGAGCAAACGGG